AUACGUAGGGGGCGAGCGUUGUCCGGAAUGAUUGGGCGUAAAGGGCGCGUAGGCGGCGCGGUAAGUCUGGAGUGAAAGUCCUGUUUUCAAGAUGGGAAUUGCUUUGGAUACUGUCGGGCUUGAGUGCAGGAGAGGUAAGUGGAAUUCCCAGUGUAGCGGUGAAAUGCGUAGAGAUUGGGAGGAACACCAGUGGCGAAGGCGACUUACUGGACUGUAACUGACGCUGAGGCGCGAAAGUGUGGGGAGCAAACAGGAUUAGAUACCCUGGUAGUCCACACUGUAAACGAUGAAUGCUAGGUGUAGGGGGUAUCGACCCCUUCUGUGCCGCAGUCAACACAAUAAGCAUUCCGCCUGGGGAGUACGGCCGCAAGGUUGAAACUCAAAUGAAUCGACGGGG
rnacentral:rRNA from 1 species